rnacentral:lncRNA from 1 species
UUGAAUGGACACAAGAGAAUACCAAUUUUUGGAUUGGAUUCACUGCAUGUACCACUUUCUCUCUCCUCCCAAUUAAUUAUUAUUAUUAUUUUUGAAAAAAAGACCCCACUUUGAUAAUAAAAGAUAACCAACACACACCCACAUAUACACAGAUUCAUUGUAACUUCCCCACUACCUUGCAUUUCCCUUUCUCUUUCUUCUCACGCUUUUUUUGCCCUAUCAAUUAGGGUUUCAGAUGACAUAUUAGCCUCCAUAAUUCAUAUGCAUUCAUCGUUUUCGAAUCUGUACUGUUUAUUGAUCGUGUUGUUGUUCUUGGAUCUGUUAUUUUUUCCUGUUAUUCGAGGGUUUUUUGGGCUUGAACGGUUCAAUUUUGACCUCCCAGGAGUUUUUCAACUUUACUCAUGCCGAAAGUCUUCGAAUAUAGUGGUAAGACGUCUAUUCUUUUAUUGGGUUUGCUUUAAUUCUUUGUUUUNNN